rnacentral:rRNA from 1 species
CGUCAAGUCAUCAUGGCCUUUAUGGCCAGGGCUACACACGUGCUACAAUGGCAGGUACAGAGGGAAGCCAACCGGCGACGGGGAGCCAAUCCCAGAAAGCCUGUCUUAGUCCGGAUUGCAGUCUGCAACUCGACUGCAUGAAGUCGGAAUCGCUAGUAAUCGCGGAUCAGCACGCCGCGGUGAAUACGUUCCCGGGCCUU